GUGGGGAAUAUUGCGCAAUGGGGGAAACCCUGACGCAGCAACGCCGCGUGGGGGAAGAAGUCUUUCGGGAUGUAAACCCUUGUUGUACGGGACGAAGGAAGUGACGGUACCGUACGAGGAAGCCCCGGCAAACUACGUGCCAGCAGCCGCGGUAAUACGUAGGGGGCGAGCGUUGUCCGGAAUCACUGGGCGUAAAGCGCACGUAGGCGGGCUGUCAAGUCGGCCGUGAAAGGCAUGGGCUCAACCUGUGCAUGUCGGUCGAUACUGGCGGUCUGGAGUAUGGGAGAGGGAACUGGAAUUCCAGGUGUAGCGGUGAAAUGCGUAGAUAUCGGGAGGAACACCAGUGGCGAAGGCGGGUUCCUGGCCCAUGACUGACGCUGAGGUGCGAAAGCCGGGGGAGCGAACGGGAUUAGAAACCCGAGUAGUCC
rnacentral:rRNA from 1 species